rnacentral:rRNA from 1 species
GGCGAGUGAGCGGCAAAGCUCAAAUUUGAAAUCUGGUACCUUUGGUGCCCGAGUUGUAAUUUGGAGAGUACCACUUUGGGACUGUACUUUGCCUAUGUUCCUUGGAACAGGACGUCAUGGAGGGUGAGAAUCCCGUGUGGCGAGGGUGUCAGUUCUUUGUAAAGGGUGCUCGAAGAGUCGAGUUGUUUGGGAAUGCAGCUCUUAGUGGGUGGUAAAUUCCAUCUAAAGCUAAAUACAGGCGAGAGACCGAUAGCGAACAAGUACAGUGAUGGAAAGAUGAAAAGAACUUUGAAAAGAGAGUGAAAAAGUACGUGAAAUUGUUGAAAGGGAAGGGCAUUUGAUCAGACAUGGUGUUUUGCGCCCCUUGCCUCUCGUGGGCUUGGGACUCUCGCAGCUCACUGGGCCAGCAUCGGUUUUGGCGGCCGGAAAAAACCUAGGGAAUGUGGCUCUGCGCCUCGGUGUAGAGUGUUAUAGCCCUGGGGAAUACGGCCAGCCGGGACCGAGGACUGCGAUACUUGUUAUCUAGGAUGCUGGCAUAAUGGUUAUAUGCCGCCCG